rnacentral:lncRNA from 1 species
AGCAGGCAGGCGGAGCAGAAUCCGGUGAAGGGAGGCUGUGAGGGGUGCUUGGGGCACCGGCUCGACGGAAGAUCGCCGGCGCCGGGGAUCAUCCCGCAGUGAGGGGGAGAUUGGAGAGGUUUGACUAGGGUUUUGACCACAUUCUCUUCUCUUCUCUUCUCGAGAGAGGGGGAUCUGCACGAGCCGAGCAGAAGUGAAGCGGGUGAGGAGGAAGACGACCC